rnacentral:rRNA from 1 species
AACGAACGCUGGCGGCAUGCCUAACACAUGCAAGUCGAACGAAGUCUUCGCACUUAGUGGCGCACGGGUGCGUAACGCGUGGGAAUCUGCCCUUGGGUACGGAAUAACUCAGAGAAAUUUGUGCUAAUACCGUAUAAUGUCUUCGGACCAAAGAUUUAUCGCCCAAGGAUGAGCCCGCGUAAGAUUAGCUAGUUGGUGGGGUAAAAGCCUACCAAGGCGACGAUCUUUAGCUGGUCUGAGAGGAUGAUCAGCCACACUGGGACUGAGACACGGCCCAGACUCCUACGGGAGGCAGCAGUGGGGAAUAUUGGACAAUGGGCGAAAGCCUGAUCCAGCAAUGCCGCGUGAGUGAUGAAGGCCUUAGGGUUGUAAAGCUCUUUUACCCGGGAUGAUAAUGACAGUACCGGGAGAAUAAGCUCCGGCUAACUCCGUGCCAGCAGCCGCGGUAACAC